GACGAACGCUGGCGGCGUGCUUAACACAUGCAAGUCGAACGGAAAGGCCCCCACCUUGGUGGGGGUGCUCGAGUGGCGAACGGGUGAGUAACACGUGGGUGAUCUGCCCUGUACUUCGGGAUAAGCUUGGGAAACUGGGUCUAAUACCGGAUAGGACCAUGGUUUAGUGUCUCAUGGUGGAAAAAUUAUUGUUUUGGUGCAGGAUGAGCUCGCGGCCUAUCAGCUUGUUGGUGGGGUAAUGGCCUACCAAGGCGUCGACGGGUAGCCGGCCUGAGAGGGUGGACGGCCACAUUGGGACUGAGAUACGGCCCAGACUCCUACGGGAGGCAGCAGUGGGGAAUAUUGCACAAUGGGCGCAGCCUGAUGCAGCGACGCCGCGUGGGGGAUGACGGCCUUCGGGUUGUAAACUCCUUUCGUUAGGGACGAAGCCACACCUUUUUUGGGUGUGGUGACGGUACCUUUGUUAAGAAGCACCGGCUAACUACGUG
rnacentral:rRNA from 1 species